AUGGUUGCCAUAUUUCAGUGUCCAAGUCACACAGAACCACAGAAUCUCACAGGUGUCUCAGAAUUCCUUCUCCUGGGACUCUCAGAGGAUCCAGAAUUGCAUCCAGUCCUCGCUGGGCUGUUCCUGUCCAUGUGCCUGGUCGCGGUGCUGGGGAACCUGUUCAUCAUCCUGGCCGUCAGCCCUGACUCCCACCUCCACACCCCCAUGUACUUCUUCCUCUCCAACUUGUCCUUGCCUGACAUCAGUUUCACCUUGGCCAUGGUCCCCAAGAUGAUUGUGGACAUGCAAUCGCAUAGCAGAGUCAUCUCCCAUGCGGACUGCCUGGCACAGAUGUCUUUCUUUGUCCUUUUUGCAUGUAUAGAUGACAUACUCCUGACUGUGAUGGCCUAUAACUGAUUUGUGGCCAUCUGUCAUCCCCUGCACUACCCAGUCAUCAUGAAUCCUCACUUCUGUGUCUUCUUAGUUUUGGUGUCUUUUUCAUCAGCGUGUUGGAUUCCCAGCUGCACAGUUGGAUUGUUACGAUUCACCUGCUUCAAGAAUGUGGAAAUCUCUGAUUUUUUUCUGUGACCGAUCUGAACUUCUCAACCUUGCCUGUUCUGACUGUGUCAUCAAUAACAUAUUCAUACAUUUAGAUAGUACUAUAUUUGGUUUUCUUCUCAUUUCAGGGAUCCUUUUGUCUUACUAUGAAAUUGUCCCCUCCACUCUAAGAAUUCCAUCGUCAGACGGGAAGUAUAAAGCCUUCUCCACCUGUGGCUCUCACCUGGCAAUUGUUUGCUUAUUUUAUGGAACAGGCACUGGCGUGUCCCUGACUUCAGCUGUGUCACUAUCCCCCAGGAAUGGUGUGGUAGCAUCAGUGUUGUACACUGUGGUCACCCCCAUGCUGAACCCCUUCAUCUGCAGACUGAGAAACAGGGGCAUUCAAAGUGCCCUGUGGAGGCUGCGGAGCAGAACAGUCUAAUCUCAUGAUCUGUUCUGUCCUUUUUCUUGUGUGGGUUAGAAAGGGCAACCACAUUAAGUCUCUACAUCUGCAAA